AGUGGUCGUUUCUUAUCUUUAGAUAAAAUUAAUUCGAGGAUAUAAGAUGCUUUCCGUAAUUAAAUGCAAUCACUAAAGUUCAUAGUGGUCGGGUUCCGUCAUGGGUUCUCUGAGGCGGCAAAUGAUGCUGAUCCAUAGUGGUUGAGUUGGUCUUCAACUCUUGUGUUUGGCGGUUUCUUCAUUUGCUCGGAGUAAUGCUUCCCAGUGCCAACAGCUGGUUACUUGAUCUCGUUGGGAACAUUAUUUCUUGAGUUCUUCGUGCAGGGUAUGAGCUUGGUUUGACAGCGUUGCAGUUGCUAUUCAAUCCCAAUUUUUAUGGUAUCGAGUCUAUUUGUUUAGUAUUGAAUCUGUUUGUGAUGUCCUUUGAGUGUUUGUCUGUGUUUAGGUCUAGGUUGUUGUGUGUGUUGUAUGGUCUUGUGUUUAUGUUUUUGUCCGAUCUUAAUUAAAUUUCGCUGUGGAUCAAUGGUGAGAAGAGAGUGGAGACUAUGU
rnacentral:lncRNA from 1 species